rnacentral:rRNA from 1 species
UGAGGAAUUUUGCACAAUGGGGGAAACCCUGAUGCAGCGACGCCGCGUGAGUGAUGAAGGCCUUCGGGUCGUAAAGCUCUGUCAAUAGGGAAGAAAUGUUUGAUGGUUAAUACCCAUUGGAUUUGACGGUACCUAUAAAGGAAGCACCGGCUAAAUCCGUGCCAGCAGCCGCGGUAAUACGGAUGGUGCGAGCGUUGUUCGGAAUUACUGGGCGUAAAGGGCGCGUAGGCGGCCUGUCAAGUCAGAUGUGAAAGCCCACGGCUCAACCGUGGAAGUGCAUCUGAAACUGCCAGGCUUGAGUACUGGAGAGGAAAGUGGAAUUCCUGGUGUAGAGGUGAAAUUCGUAGAUAUCAGGAGGAAUACCGGUGGCGAAGGCGACUUUCUGGACAGAUACUGACGCUGAGGCGCGAAAGCGUGGGGAGCAAACAGGAUUAGAUACCCUGGUAGUCCACAGCUGUAAACGAUGUGCACUAGGUGUAGGGGGUCGUUGACCCUUUCUGUACCGCAGCUAACGCAUUAAGUGCACCGCCUGGGGAGUACGGUCGCAAGAUUA